rnacentral:rRNA from 1 species
GACGAACGCUGGCGGCAUGCCUAAUACAUGCAAGCCGAGCGAACAGAUGAAGUGCUUGCACUUCUGACGUUAGCGGCGAACGGGUGAGUAACACGUAAGGAAUCUACCUAUAAGCGGGGGAUAACAUUCGGAGACGGGUGCUAAUACCGCAUAAUAUCUUCUUCCGCAUGGAAGAAGAUUGAAAGACGGCUCUGCUGUCACUUAUAGAUGACCUUGCGGUGCAUUAGUUAGUUGGUGGGGUCAUGGCCUACCAAGACGAUGAUGAAUAGCCGAGAUGAUAGUGUGAGAGGCCACAUUGGGACUGAGGCACCGCCCAAACUCCUACGGGAGGCAGCAGUAGGGAAUCUUACGAAAUGGGCGAAAGCCUGACGGAGCAAUGCCGCGUGAGUGAAGAAGGCCUUCGGGUCGUAAAACUCUGUUAUGAGAGAAGAACAAAUUGUAGAGUAACUGCUACAGUCUUGACGGUAUCUUAUCAGAAAGCCACGGCUAACUACGUGCCAGCCGCCGCAGUAA